rnacentral:rRNA from 1 species
AGAACGAACGCUGGCGGCAUGCCUAAUACAUGCAAGUCGAACGAACUCUUCGGAGUUAGUGGCGCACGGGUGCGUAACGCGUGGGAAUCUGCCCCUUGGUUCGGGAUAACAGUUGGAAACGACUGCUAAUACCGGAUGAUGACGAAAGUCCAAAGAUUUAUCGCCAAGGGAUGAGCCCGCGUAGGAUUAGCUAGUUGGUGAGGUAAAGGCUCACCAAGGCAACGAUCCUUAGCUGGUCUGAGAGGAUGAUCAGCCACACUGGGACUGAGACACGGCCCAGACUCCUACGGGAGGCAGCAGUAGGGAAUAUUGGACAAUGGGCGAAAGCCUGAUCCAGCAAUGCCGCGUGAGUGAUGAAGGCCUUAGGGUUGUAAAGCUCUUUUACCCGAGAUGAUAAUGACAGUAUCGGAGAAUAAGCCCCGGCUAACUCCGUGCCAGCAGCCGC